AUUGAGUGGGAAUAAAAUAUAUAAAUAAUUAAAGAUGAGAAAGCCUAUUUUACAGUGUUUAUUGUGAUUAAUAACUUGUAAAAUAGGCUUAUUUUAAUAUUGUUUCCCACCAAAAUUCCCACCUACCAAAAGACUUAGAA
rnacentral:sRNA from 1 species